AUGUCCUUCCCCACUCUCCAGCCAGAGGCCUCCUGGUGGAUCAAGUCCAGCUUGAUAAGUGAUGGUCGACGCAAGUACAGCAAGCAACUGAAUAAACUCGCGAGCCUUGUUGACUUGUUCUUUUCUGACAUUCUCUGCCUCUUCUUCUCCGCCAUUCUUUGCCUUGUCGGCUUCUUCUUUUCCGUCGUUCUUUGCAUUGUUGAUUUCUUCUUUUCCGUCAUUCUUUGCCUUGUUGAGUUCUUCUUUUCCGUCAUUCUUUCCCUUGUUGCCUCGUGGUCUGUGAAUCCAUGCAUUAUAGACAGAUAUAUAGUUAGAGGCAUAUACAUGCAUGGAGAGCUAUGA
rnacentral:rRNA from 1 species